GAUUGAACGGCUUGGAACACGGCAUAGGUAUGCAGUUGAACAAGGGUAACACAAUACAUGAUUUGUGAUGCCCAUAUAGGAAGCACUCUAAACAGGCAUUUCACUUCUUCUACUUGCUGCAAGCUGCAGAGUCUCCAUGGAUCCGCUGGUGAUCCAUCACCCUUUAUUUCAUCUUGGGGUGUCACAAUUGCUGCUUUAUCCAGGAAUCUGAAAACAAAAAAAAAAACUAACUUAAGCCAAUUCUCAACAUGUUCUUUUCCCCUCUUGUUUUAGCUACAUUGCUUGGUCUCGGGGCAUGCAUUGAUAUACUUGAAGAAAACUGAUAAGUGGGAGCAGAUAGUGUGCUGACCUGAAUUGGUCGGUGUAGGGAAGCUUGGAGUUGAUAGACUUGGGAGGAAUAUACUUGAAAAGGGAGAGCCAAGGCUGUUCCACAGGUUUUAAUUUCCUUUUCUUGAUAGCUACCACUAUUACUUGUGCUACACUGGUCAUUGGACUACCAGUAGCUUUAACUUUGACAUAUAUUUUGGAACCAACAAAAUACACCACACAAGCUAUAAACAUGAGAGUUGCAGGAAUCCCAAGGCCAAUAGCCCAACUCACGUUUGAUUGAAUGUAGACGAUGAGGGUUAAGGAUACCAUCUGCGCAAAAGUGAAGGUGAAGAAGUACCAAUUGAAGAAGCUGUCGAUUCCUCUCUUUCCAGCUUCUGUUUUAGGAUUGAAUUGGUCCACCCCAAAUGCUAAGUUACAUGGCCGAACGCCCCCAGCUCCCACAAUCAUUAGCCCCAAACCCAUUAGCAGAAAUG
rnacentral:lncRNA from 1 species